GAUGAACGCUGGCGGCGUGCCUAAUACAUGCAAGUCGAGCGAACGGACGAGAAGCUUGCUUCUCUGAUGUUAGCGGCGGACGGGUGAGUAACACGUGGAUAACCUACCUAUAAGACUGGGAUAACUUCGGGAAACCGGAGCUAAUACCGGAUAAUAUUUUGAACCGCAUGGCUCAAAAGUGAAAGACGGUCUUGCUGUCACUUAUAGAUGGAUCCGCGCUGCAUUAGCUAGUUGGUAAGGUAACGGCUUACCAAGGCAACGAUGCAUAGCCGACCUGAGAGGGUGAUCGGCCACACUGGAACUGAGACACGGUCCAGACUCCUACGGGAGGCAGCAGUAGGGAAUCUGCCGCAAUGGGCGAAAGCCUGACGGAGCAACGCCGCGUGAGUGAUGAAGGUCUUCGGAUCGUAAAACUCUGUUAUUAGGGAAGAACAUAUGUGUAAGUAACUGUGCACAUCUUGACGGGACCUAUCAGAAAGCCACGGCUAACUACGUG
rnacentral:rRNA from 1 species